rnacentral:lncRNA from 1 species
AAUGCUCGUGGCAAAGAUUUGGAUACAGACUUCACAAAUAAUGCCUCCCAACCUGAGACCAAAGCCAUCAUUGAAAAUUUGAUUCAAAAACAGGACUUUAGUCUUUCUGUUGCCUUAGAUGGUGGUUCCAUGCUGGUCACAUAUCCUUAUGACAAGCCAGUACAGACAGUGGAAAAUAAAGAGACUCUGAAGCAUUUGGCAUCUCUUUAUGCAAAUAAUCAUCCAUCCAUGCACAUGGUUCUGUGGUGAUAGUCUUUGACACAGAUAACCGGAUAUUUGGUUUGCCAAGGGAGCUUGUGGUAACUGUAUCAGGUGCUACUAUGUCGGCAUUGAUCCUAACAGCUUGCAUUAUUUGGUGCAUCUGCUCAAUCAAGUCUAAUAGACACAAGGAUGGCUUUCAUCGGCUCAGGCAGCAUCAUGAUGAGUAUGAAGAUGAAAUUCGCAUGAUGUCUACCGGCUCCAAGAAGUCCCUCCUAAGCCAUGAGUUCCAGGAUGAAACAGACACUGAAGAGGAAACAUUAUAUUCUAGCAAACAUUGAAAAACACAUUUUGCAUAUCUCCCAGCAUAAGUACCAAGCAAAAUUACAGUUCCUCUUGGGAGAACACUGCAUUAAGAAGAGAGACUCUCUUGCUUCUUCAAAGAGCUUUGGGAAAUUAAAUUGCUAAAUUUGU